ACUAACAGUUCAUAAGAUUAGCAUACAUAUUAAGAGUUGGUCGAAGGAACACAAAGCAAUUUAAAGCAUAUUAUGGAGAGGGUAUCAUUCAAGGUCCUUGCUCCUGCUGCUUUAGCAUUACUAAUCAUCUUAAUGAUUACUAUUACUUGCCAAGCUGGUCCAGUGGAUGAAAUAACAUCAACAACAACUACCACUGUCGAGACGGUUUUGAAUUGCAAACAAGCAGGGGACUAUUGUAACACACUCUUUUCUGGCCAAGAUUGUUGUGACGAUUCUAAAUGUGCUCAAGCUCCUCUUGUAGGUGGUCGGUGUCAAAAACUCAAAAACUAAGAGUUAACAACAUACUCCAUAGGUGUUGGUGCCUCACUAUCUCUCAACACCUUGGCUUAUUUCACUUUGUGCAUGCAUUAUCUAGCUUACUAAAACAAAAAUGUGGAUAAAGAGGCUCUAGUCGAUUUCCCAUUUUUGUUUUUCAUAUUGCGUCAGAGAGUCUCUUCUCUAGCCAGUUUCUUUGCUUUUCUGUCGAGUUUGUAUCACUCAAGAUUGAGAUGUUUUCAAUUUCAUUGUGUGCUUUGUCUUCAAUUUAAUAAAGUAAAUUAUAUUUUGA